rnacentral:rRNA from 1 species
GACGAACGCUGGCGGCGUGCUUAACACAUGCAAGUCGAACGGCAAGGCCCUGCUUUUGUUGGGUGCUCGAGUGGCGAACGGGUGUGUUACACGUGAGUAACCUGCCCUUGACUUUGGGAUAACUUCAGGAAACUGGGGCUAAUACCGGAUAGGAGCUCCUGCUGCAUGGUGGGGGUAGGACCUUUGCGGCGGGUUGGGAUGGACUCGCGGCUUAUGAGCUUGUUGGUGGGGUAGUGGCUUACCAAGGCUUUGACGGAUAGGCGGCCUGGGAGGUUGACCGGGGACAAUGGUACUGCGGUACGGAGCAGACGCCAACGUUAGGCAGCAGGGGGGAAUAUGACACAGUGAUGGGAAGCGUGAUACGACGACGCCGCGUGCGGGAUGACGGCUUGCGGGUGGUGAACCGCUUUCGGCUAUGACGAAGCGUGAGUGACGGUAAUGGAUAAAUAAGCACCGGCUAACUACGUG